UACGAAGGGGGGCUAGCGUUGUUCGGAAUUACUGGGCGUAAAGCGCACGUAGGCGGACAUUUAAGUCAGGGGUGAAAUCCCGGGGCUCAACCCCGGAACUGCCUUUGAUACUGGGUGUCUCGAGUCCGGAAGAGGUGAGUGGAAUUCCGAGUGUAGAGGUGAAAUUCGUAGAUAUUCGGAGGAACACCAGUGGCGAAGGCGGCUCACUGGUCCGGUACUGACGCUGAGGUGCGAAAGCGUGGGGAGCAAACAGG
rnacentral:rRNA from 1 species